rnacentral:hammerhead_ribozyme from 1 species
ACACUGCUGAGGAGUCCCAUACUUGGACGAAACGGCCGUCCAGUGC